rnacentral:rRNA from 1 species
GAUGAACGCUGGCGGCGUGCCUAACACAUGCAAGUCGAACGGAGAUUACGGACGGAAGUUUUCGGAUGGAAGCCUGUAAUUCUUAGUGGCGGACGGGUGAGUAACGCGUGGGCAACCUGCCCUAUACAGGGGGAUAGCAGCUGGAAACGGCUGGUAAGACCGCAUAAGUCGGUUAAAUCGCAUGAUUUGAUCGGGAAAUGAGCAAUCAGGUAUAGGAUGGGCCCGCGUCCGAUUAGCCAGUUGGCAGGGUAAAAGCCUACCAAAGCGACGAUCGGUAGCCGGACUGAGAGGUCGGACGGCCACAUUGGGACUGAGACACAGCCCAAACUCCUACGGGAGGCAGCAGUGGGGGAUAUUGCACAAUGGAGGAAACUCUGAUGCAGCGACGCCGCGUGAGUGAAGAAGUAUUUCGGUAUGUAAAGCUCUAUCAGCAGGGAAGAUGAUGACGGUACCUGACUAAGAAGCCCCGGCUAACUACGUG